GAUGAAGAACGCAGCGAAAUGCGAUACGUAAUGUGAAUUGCAGAAUUCAGUGAAUCAUCGAGUCUUUGAACGCACAUUGCGCCCCCUGGUAUUCCGGGGGGCAUGCCUGUUCGAGCGUCAUUACAACCCUCAAGCUCUGCUUGGUGUUGGGCCCCGCCGCCCCGGCGGGCCCUAAAAUCAGUGGCGGUGCCGUCCGGCUCCGAGCGUAGUAAUUCUUCUCGCUCUGGAGGUCCGGGUGUGUGCUCGCCAGCAACCCCCAAUUUUUUUCAGGUUGACCUCGGAUCAGGUAGGGAUACCCGCUGAACUUAAGCAUAUCAAUAAGCGGAGGA
rnacentral:misc_RNA from 1 species